GUCACGCCGCCAGCCAGUGUCAGUGACCAAGCCUUCACGACACAGCUACGCGCCGACGCUGCGUAACAGUGCCAAACAUGUUAAGUUGGCUUCCGCCGAUCUUUCUGUCAAGGAGCUAAGGGCGAAGAUUGCUCAGACUCCCAGCUUGAAGAACUUGGAUGUUGCCGCUGUGACUGGGGGGGGGGGGUAAAAAAACUGGUCCUCCACUUUACCAAUCCCUCUGAAAAAAAAAAGAGGUUUGUUGACAAUGUCAAGACCGGGCUCGCUAUCUUUGGAGUUCCAUCUGAGAAAACCGAGGAGCAGCUUGCGGCUGAUAUUAGAAACCAUCCUGCUGUCGAAAAGUUACUGAAAAGCGACGCCGAUUGCAGGCUGGUUAAACUGAUAAGAAAAGAGGGCUCAUCCUCCACCGCGAUAGUAGAGGUGAAUAAGGCUGUUGAGACUGCUCUACUCGAGCGCGGUAGGAUCACAAUAGACUACCUCUCCCUGAGACUCGCAAGGGCUAAGCGCGUCUUUCCCUGCGGUGUCUGUGGCAGCCUGAGUCACAGGACCCACACCAACGGUAAGAAGUGUACCAGGGCGGCCACUGCACUGGUGCAAUCUGCCGAGGCCCGUGACAACAAGGCUAUAUAUAAAACGACACUUGCAAGUUUAACCGCAUGAGUUUCUUUUCAACGACAAAUUAAAAUUUUUUAUUUUAAGGUGAAAUAUCGACAAUUUCUAGCCUUUUGGAUGAGGUAUGAAAGGAUGAAUUAUGAAGAGUAAUGACGAACGGAAAAAUAAAAGUGCUGAUAUGUGUUGGAGAUGUGUGCGAAAGUUUUUUUGAGGUCAACGCGGAAACAAUCGGCAAGGGUAGGGUCAAAAGAGUCAGCAUAAGGGGCAAGGAUGUGGUAGGCCCAGGUUAGAUGUAGGAGGUGUGAGGGGUUGUUGAUGGGGAAAAGGUUACAUGUGGGUGGAGGUGAGUCGGGGGUGUAGUGUUGUUGUGGUGGUUGGCGUAGGUGGGGUGGCGUGUGAACAUAUGUAGAUGAGGUAGGGUGAAGAGGGGUGGAGGAGCUCACCCCAGGUCGACUGCCGAGGUCCUGAUCCCCGCCAAUGGUAGGGUCGAGCAGGGAGUUAAACAUGCUCGGUGUGGUCGUCUUGGCAGGAGGAGUCAGUGCCGGGAGAGGAGCUGGAGGAAUCCUUGGGAGGGGGGCAGAGAACCCCCUGGAGUUGAAGAGGUGUCAGAGGUGGGGGUGGCCCCCAGGGAGGGCGGUGGGAAGAGGGCGCAGGCCGGGGCGGACCCGCCGCUGGCGGUGGGAGGGCCCGCCGGCAGGUGCGCGGGGCGAGCGGCGAGCCGCCGGAUGCGUGGCGGCGGAGCCAGCACGGCGGAGGUUGGAAGCACUCCAGGCAGUGGAGGGAGGUCGAGUGGCGGCGUGCGGCCGCUCAGGAGGUCCAGCGCUCUGAUUGGACGCCUGCAGGAAAAAAAUCAGCGCGACGGACGGCAGCAGGCGGCCGCCCGGGAGGACCGAGGAAUUAAAAAAAAUGAACAAACGUUCGGCAACUGAAUUUGGCCAAAAAAUCCAAGGGGCAGGACAGGGUGGAGGUGGUCCCACGGCAGGGGAACCCGCGGGGAGAAGAAGGCAGCGGACCCCGCGGAGGCAGGAGCGCAGAGGGAGGAACCGCGCGGUCGGAGUCCGCGGCGACUAUCCGACUUAGCUGGCUGGCUUUCGCUUCCGGGCUAAAUGUUCAAAUGGGCAUGGACUUCUAACCCCAACUUCUUGGCUCAUCAUGGCUGCAGACGCGAUGUCAGGUGGCAAGGGAUCCUAGGAUCUGGCGGCAGGCGAUGUCUCGCAGGGAUGGUGGAAUCGUUGGGAAAGCAGGGGAGCAGCGCCAGGGAGCAGUGAGGCAGGAGUCUUGCAUAGGCCAGAAUCCAGUAGAAGGUGGCAGGUGGAGUUGGAGGCAGAAGGUACUUGAAGCCUAAAACGUGAGGGCCUUAGAUUUCAGGAUGGGGCAGCUUGAGGCUCUCGCCUCGUGCUUGUCAGGAAGGCCCUUUGGGCAGCAGUUGGCACAUUUGAGGGUGCGCUGGUCAGCAAUGGAUGGGCAGGCGCGGCCUUCGUGGCCGUCUUCACCGCAGUGGAAACACUUAGCAGACGCGGGCGCGAAUGGACUCCUCGAAGUUGAGGAUAAUGCCAUCAACCACGAUUCUUCCGCGAACGCCCAGGGCUCCAAAGGUCUUGAGGUCCACCUCGAUGAAGGCGGUGCAAGUCCCGUUUCUUGGCGCAGAACGGUGCGCCGCGCGCACCACUUUUUCUCCAGGGAGUUUGCUGACAGCAGCGGUUUGCAGGAAGGUCUCCUCGAUUGUGGAAUUGGAGGUCUCCUCAUCCACUCUGAAGAGGCAGAUUCUUGGCAGGAUCUUCUUCUGCUGGCGGACCUUCAUUCCCGUUAGCUUGCUGGCCAGGGAGGUUGUCACCUCAGGGAUGAUGUCGGGAUUGCUGGAGUGGAGGACCAGCUUCCCCUUGGUUCGCAGAGAGGCCCAAACGCCUUGGGGUAGAGUGUGGGCAGCACGGACAGCCUUGUAAAUCUCCCUUGGGUCAGCCUGUGGGUCAUCAGAGACGACCACUGUGUGGGCCGCCGAUUUUUCCCCAUGGAGGACCACUUGGGCGGCCGCAGGCUUGGGGACGCGGGAAGGCGUAGGUUUUGUGGGACCUUUCAAGUUGGAUCUUUUGGCAGGGGGGUUGGGAGCCUCAGGCUGCUUCCUCUUGGUUGCAGCAGGAGUGGCGGGCUUGGUGGGGUCAGUCUGGGAGCUGGUUUUCUUUAAGCAGGGAGCAGGGCUGGUUUGGGUGCUGUGGCAGUCAGUCUGGGGCUUGUUGGCACCUUCGUCCUGCUCCUUAAAGGACGCGAGGAUGCCAGAGAGGCUCUCCACCUCAGCGAGGAAGGCUUUGAUCUGUUCAGACCGCAGCUCGAUGAAAUUUAUCGAGCCCUGAUACAGGGGGAACAGGGUGUUGGGGCCAGAGGACUGCAAGGCAUCGCGGUAGUGUUGCCUCGCCUCCUCGUUCUCCUUUUCCAGUUGAGCGAGGGUCACAAGGGGCUUCUCGGCGUUCUUCUUCUUCUUCCUAGAGGGAACCAUGGCAGGAGCAAGAGAGCAGAGAUGUGCACAGGUAGAGUGCUAGCUGGCUCGAUCUGAGAAUCCGACUUAGCAGCAAAUUGUGCUGUUUUAUAAUGCACCCCAAGUCUAAACCUGGGUAGGUGAGAGCCAAUCAAAAUGGAGAGUUGAUGGCGACCGCUUUUGAACGAAUUGCUGACAUUGGGCACACUUUUAUCUUUCUUUUUGAAAAUUAUUUUCAAUUUUUUUUUUACCCUGUGUAUUUUGGCUUUUAAUGUGUGAAAACAAUAUAACCACAAGCUGCUCUUCAGUUUUCUCAGAAGGAAUCCCGAAUAUAGCAAGCCUCGGCUUGAAUGUAGGAUUCGUCUGGACUUUAAGUCUACCAAUGUUGGCGGACUUAACAUUGUCCACGAACCUCUUUUUUUCAGAGGAGUUGGCUAAGUGGAGGACAAGUUUCUUGUCCCCCCCCCCAGUCACAGCGGCCACAUCAACAUUCUUUAAACAGGGAGUUUGGGUGAUUUUUUUGCCCUGAUUUCACUAACAGACAGCUCCGCGUGAUUAAUGCUGUUACGCAGCAUAUGCACGUUACUUGGUCGUGUAGGUUUGGUUGGCUUAACACCAACAUUGGGUGAUGGUGCAGGUUUGGCAUUUUUAGCAGAGGCUGCGUAUUGCGCCCUAAUCUCAGCAAUUUUAAGAUCGCAACCCUUCAAUUUCUGUUUGAAAACGUCCACAACGGUGGUCUGUAGUUGGCAAAGUAGCAUGUCCAUUUUGCCGUAUGAUUUUUUAAUAGCUGAAGAACCCAGUUCCCCACCUAGACCUACACCAAUUUCAUAUUGUAGGAUCUGCCUAAAGCUUCGGGUUUCGGGACAGGAGAGGGUGGUGUUGUCAAUUAGAAGAUGGGGAGGUUUGCAGAAAAUGGGUAGAACCAGGGAACUCCAGGGAGGAGACGGCAUUGACAUCUCCAGCGAACAGAAGGCGAGGAGGAGGUGGGGAGCCGAAGAGAGUGAGGAAGGAGUCUACUAUGGGGGAAUAAGAAGCUUUGUGUGGGAAGUAAACAGAGCAGAUAGUGAGAUGGAAGCCUGGGAUGUCGAGAAUGGCGAGGGUACGGUUGGUGGUAGAAAGGCGAGGGAGGAAGACCACAGGCAGGCUCUGGUUAAGAACCACGAUGUAGGUGCUGCACUUGUUCUGUGUGAUGGGAGCGUGAAGGAAAGAGGCGGAGGGGAUUGGGAAGGGAGAGGCGAGAAGGCCUUUACGGACCGGCAGUUCUUGAAGCAGGAGGAUAUCUAUGUGAGAGGACUGCGCGGUUUCGAGAAUAGAGAGGAAGCAGGGGAGGGAACGGUUGCAAUUUAGCUGCAGGAACCUAAUCAUGGGAUUCCAUGCGUUGUGAGGAAGGCAGACUCUGCCGCCUUAAUGAUCGGGCAGGCAAGGGAAUCCGCCCGGUGUUGGUUGUUGCUGCUGCACCGGAAGCAUCUAGGGGGAGAGGAGAUUGCUGCUC
rnacentral:piRNA from 1 species